rnacentral:rRNA from 1 species
GCUACGGGAGGCAGCAGUAGGGAAUAUUGCUCAAUGGGGGAAACCCUGAAGCAGCAACGCCGCGUGAAGGAUGAAGGUUUUCGGAUUGGAAACUCCUUUUGUUAGAGAAGAUAAUGACGGUAUCUAACGAAUAAGCACCGGCUAACUCCGUGCCAGCUGCCGAGGUAAUACGGAGGGUGCAAUCGUUACUCGGAAUAACUGGGCGUACAGAGCGCGUAGGCGGGAUAGCAAGUCAGAUGUGAAAUCCUAUGGCUUAACCAUAGAACUGCAUUUGAAACUGUUAUUCUAGAGUAUGGGAGAGGUAGGUGGAAUGCGUGGUGGAGGGGUAAAAUCCGUAGAGAUCAAGAGGAAUACUUAUUGCGAAGGCGACCUGCGAGAAUAUAACUGACGCUGAUGCGCGAAAGCGUGGGGAGCAAACAGGAUUAGAUACCCCAGUAGUC